rnacentral:lncRNA from 1 species
CCCCAAGGGUCUGCUCAAUAGUGCUGACAUCAGAGUAUUAAUUUUAUUGUAUUUAUAUCAUACAAUAUGGUCUUGCAGGUUAUGCAGGGUAACUCCUAUUUAGAUUUCACAACAGUUGAUAUUCUUGUUGAAAAGGGGAUAAUAUAAAUUCUAGUACUUUUAUAACCACGCAGAGCCAGCGAUGGACCGCUUUGACAAAAAACGUUUCAUAAAAUUUACUAAGAAGUCAAUCCAGUCAGAAGAGCUAGUAUCAUUUCUUAAUGAAUGCAAGAUUAAUCAGAUGUUCCCCAUGUCUAUCAACCGUAUACGACUGCCUAUCAGGUCGCACUAUAUAGAAAAACAAGUGAAAGUCAGGUGCCUAAGGUUUGCACACACUGAUGCAAAAAG